CGCUCGUCGGGCUACAGCUCCGACGUUUUCAGUUCUGAUUUAGUUUUAUUUUAGUUUGGUUUACACCGAGUGUCAUUUUGCAUGCAUCUCACAGCGCUUGUACAGGCAACCAAACCAUUCAGGCAUGGAAUUUGACCAUAUAAAAACGGCAGCAUUCCAAAAUUUUCCUAAUAGUGACUUGGGCAAUGGCUUCGCUUUAUCAAGAACAUAUGGAGUGCUGAUAAUCGUCACACGAAGUUUAUUAGAUUGUGUUUUGAGAUGUUCCCGUCUUGAUGCUAUGUGUGACGUCAUUAGUAUAGGAAAAAAACGUGGAAGCCAAAAGUCAGUUUGUUUACUUGGCAAGUAUAAGUACCAGCCGGUAUCUGAAAUGCUGGAGAAACGUGCACUUUAUAGAACAUUUGGUUCUGUGGACGACCAAAAACCGCAUUCAUGUCAAGACGUUGAUAAGUUGCUAAAACAAAAAGCAUUUGAAUUUAGUGACACGCACUAUGCUAUAUUCAUUGGAACUCCACCACGCCCUGUCACAGUUUAUUGCCAUAGCAUUGGUAAGGUGCGAAACGAGUAUAUUACACUGCAUGGCAGGAAUUAUGCCGAGAUACUGAAGCUACACUUUCAAGGUAGAAUAUGGAAGACAAGUGGCUUUUCUGAUUUCAAGAAAGUUAGAUUUCUACCGGAGAUCUUAAGUGUCCAAACUGACGACUAUGCGUUCGCCAAUGCGACUGGCAGUCCACAGCAACCCUACCGGAGGGUGCCCUUUGGUAAGGCAGGACUGGCCAACUACAAGCUGUUUUCAACUUUCCGUAUUGACCUGCGACAGACUGGUGUCAGGGUCAAUGAUAAGGUAAUUUGGAAAUCGUCUUGCAAGGAUAGCCGAGGAAUAGUUCACUACCACAGAAGCAGUCUUCAAAAAGAAUAUCACAACCAGUUAAUAAACGGACGGAUUGAGGGUGGAUAUUGCUUUAUAUAUCCAACACUAAAUGGCCGAGAAACGAACUUGAUUAAAUUGGCAUGGUUCCGCACACGACCCCCAAUGCAAAGGAAUUCUAAUCUGAUCGUGACCUCUUGAAAUUACAGUGAUGACUUACAUGCAUCUCCAACGCCAUCUUUGCCCACAUACAUGGUUUGACUGAUGGAAGUGACUAUUUGGCAAGCCCGGCUUACCAACCAGCGACUUUUUUUGGCC